UUUUAUUUUUUUGCUCCAGAAUUCAUUCAGGCUUAACUUCCUGUCUACUGCUCAUCGGCUUCAUGAAGAGGGCUUUCAAAGUCUGCGCCACAGAGAGUACAUCAGCUUGGCUCAAUGCUAAUGAUGUUCCAACCAUCCCUGUUGCUUGGUCGAGUCAGGAAACCAAAAAUACAACUUUACCCAGCAUCAGCAGACCUAGUGGUCAACUUACCCAAUAACACCAAGUUCUUCAAGGACAACUUCCAGAUCCGCAGAAGGGCGGUGGAUUAUGGAGUACCACUUACACAAACUUCCAGGUAGUAAAGCUGUUUGCAGAAGCCAUUAGAUAUUCCAGUGAUUUAAACGCCACCAGCCUGUUCCACCACCAACAAAGUGAUCCCAGACUGUCGGAGAGCUCUGCUGCAAGGAUCUUCAGAGGAGGCCGGCAGCUGCAGUUGUCUCUGUCCCUGUGCUGAUCGAGUGUGCAUACUCAGCCAUACUGAAUAAUGCACGGCACCUUCCUGGGCUGAAGGAGGUCUGCUGUGUGCAGAAGAAAGAAGAAUACUGAUUGCUAAUUGACGUUGGUUCCUCAUGCUAUGAUAAUGAAUUAUCCAGGAGGCAAAAUGAUUGACGUCCUAUGAGGAGCCACUGCCAUACUUGGAACAAAACUGGCCACUGCCAUGCAAGCAGUUCCUCUUCUGCAUCGCAUACAUCAUGAUCUGGCCAGAUUUGAAUCCAACAGAGGACAGACGGAAGGGAAAUUCCUUUUCAACUCUGCUGCAGAUUUCUAUCCUUUUUAAUAGGACAAUUAGGACUACCCGUUCCUGUAAAACACGUUGGUA